ACCCUAAGAUCGGAUUGCCCUCGACUGGAUUCGUUUGGAUAUGGACUCCGGAAAGGAGAACUGAUGGAACGUUGGGUCGCACAAGGGUUGCGGAUGUUCCCUUGAUAUUCCCGACUUCAAUGGCGCUUGAUGUGACUCACAAGUCCGCCAAGGAAGAUCUCGAACUGGUUGCUUGAUAUGACUCACAAGACCAACUAGUUGAGAAGUGAAUUGCUCGGAUAUGACUCACCAAGACAAUCGAAAAACAAGUUCUAAAGAGAACAGAGAGUUUAAACUCAGAAACUUAAUCCAAAAUGAUCUGAUUUUAUUCAUGGAAUGAAACACUUAUUUAUAGUACAAGUAGGAGACAAAGGGGCUACUUGACUAGAAGUUUGAAAGACAAAUAAAAUUAAAGACAUUUGACUAGAAUUUUGAAAGACAAAGAAGAAAGACUCUUCAAUUUGCGGACUGGUCAAAGUGACCCUUCGGCUGGUUGAACCGCGGCCAAGAGCAGGACGGUCGCGGGCCGGUCCGUCUGUUCCGUCU
rnacentral:lncRNA from 1 species